UACGAAGGGGGCUAGCGUUGCUCGGAAUCACUGGGCGUAAAGGGUGCGUAGGCGGGUCUUUUAAGUCAGGGGUGAAAUCCUGGAGCUCAACUCCAGAACUGCCUUUGAUACUGAGGAUCUUGAGUUCGGGAGAGGUGAGUGGAACUGCGAGUGUAGAGGUGAAAUUCGUAGAUAUUCGCAAGAACACCAGUGGCGAAGGCGGCUCACUGGUCCGGUUCUGACGCUGAGGCGCGAAAGCGUGGGGAGCAAACAGG
rnacentral:rRNA from 1 species